AAAUAGAUACCCCGGUAGUCCACGCCGUAAACGAUGAGUGCUAAGUGUUAGAGGGUUUCCGCCCUUUAGUGCUGCAGCUAACGCAUUAAGCACUCCGCCUGGGGAGUACGGCCGCAAGGCUGAAACUCAAAGGAAUUGACGGGGGCCCGCACAAGCGGUGGAGCAUGUGGUUUAAUUCGAAGCAACGCGAAGAACCUUACCAGGUCUUGACACCCUCUGCCAACCCUAGAGAUAGGGCGUUCCCCUUCGGGGGACAGAGUGACAGGUGGUGCAUGGUUGUCGUCAGCUCGUGUCGUGAGAUGUUGGGUUAAGUCCCGCAACGAGCGCAACCCUUGAUCUUAGUUGCCAGCAUUCAGUUGGGCACUCUAAGGUGACUGCCGGUGACAAACCGGAGGAAGGUGGGGAUGACGUCAAAUCAUCAUGCCCCUUAUGACCUGGGCUACACACGUGCUACAAUGGAUGGUACAAAGAGCUGCGAACCCGCGAGGGUAAGCGAAUCUCAUAAAGCCAUUCUCAGUUCGGA
rnacentral:rRNA from 1 species